AGCACGUCGCUUGAGUUGGUGCGCGACCAGGUGAAUUAAUGCCUUGACGUCAGAGGCAAGGCCGGGAUCAGAGAGUUGUCACGGCUGACCGAACGCUGCCGAGUUGAUUUGCCGUGGAGGACCGAAGAUCCGUAGAUGAUAGGAGCCACGCGCAUUAAUUGUUGAGUAAGCCGGAGAUAUGCAUUAAUUGUUGAGUAAGUCGGAGAUAUACAUUAAUUGUUGAGUGAGUCGGGGGUUUGCAGAAAUCAUGCGCAUUAAAUGCUGGAGGCGGUGGCAGGGUAUGGC
rnacentral:lncRNA from 1 species